CUCGCGUUUGAAACUUCUAACCGACCUCCUUUGUUCUCGCUGACCGUGUGUGUGACCUCCUCUCUUCCCUGUUCACAUUUCACUUGAAUGCGGUGAAAAGUCUCUGCGUUUGUGUCUGCACCGUGAACAAAGUUCGGACUGAAUAUCCAAACCAGACACGGAGCUGUGAUGAGCUCACAGAGCUGGAAGCUGGAGCGUGACCCGUCUGGUUUCAUCUAGAGGUAAACAGCGGCACGCACUGGAAAGGAGAGGAGAAGCAGGACCUGUUUGGGUGCCAAGACGAUUUAUCCGUGCAUGUCCCCAGUCAGAAAUACCAGCUAACAGUGAUAACCCUGGUGACAGCAGCGACUUACCUGGAGCACCUUGUGACGACCCUGAAACUACUGAAAAUUGACUUUUUAAAUCAGAAAAAUAGGUAUAGUUAUAAGAUUAAGUUUAGUGAUAAGUUAUUUUUAGUAUUUAAAGUUAGGUAAUAGCCAGUUGUUUUUUGUUUUGUUUUGUUUUUUUUUUUGAAAUUGAACUAAAAGAGACAACCAAAACGAUGAAUAGAAUAUUGGGAGUCGGAAUGUUUGUUUAUUUAGUGCUUUAGUAGAAAGAGGAUCAGGAGUGCUUGAGAUCGACCCAAGACAAAAUAUAUGGGUCACUUGGGCCAAUCGAACUAGACAAGAUUCAUUUUGCUUGUCUUUAACUACACCGUCAAAUCCUUUUCGGACUUGUUUGAUUGGAGAGCCAGUAGACUCCAUGACAGAGUUCUGAACGUGGUCUCAAGUCAGAAUUGAUCCAAAGAGUGUUUUGGGAACUCAGGCUGUUGCCAUUGCACAAAAUCUUAGAGUUGCUAAUACUGAGCCCCAAGAACUCGAACUUUUGGGUUCUGUGCCAGGAAACUACUGCUUAAUUUUUGGACACUUUGUUAUGAAUUCAAGUUUGUUGAUUGUGAGCAAAAGGCAACUGAAAAGUGGCAACACUUAGCUGUCUCCCAGGUCCCCAUUGAAUUAUAACUAUAUUGAGUACUUCAACAAUUGGACUGAGUCUGUGACACCGUUGAAAGGUGUUGCAAGAAAAUUGCCACCAGGAAUCUUUCUCAUUUGUGGAGAUAGAGCCUGGUCUGCAAUUCCCCAAGAAGCUGUAGGACGUCCAUGUUAUUUUGGCAAAUUGACACUGUUUGCUCCCAGCAUUCAUCAAGUUCUGGGUUGUCUCAGAAGACACGACGAGACAGACGCAGUGUGUCUCAACUAAGCCCUGAUUGUAAAGAUCAGGCAGAGUUAUGGAAACCUGCAGCUGUAAUAUCAGCAUCAUUCUUUGCCCCAGGAGUUGCUUCAGUGCAAGCUCUCACACAGCUGAAAAACUUAACCUGCUGGACAGGAAAACAAAUUAAUAUAACAUCUACUGUGUUAAGUGAGCUUGCCAAGGAUGUUAACGACAUCCGUCAUGCAGUUCUUCAAAACAGACCCACAGUUGACUUCCUCCUUUUAGCCCAAGGGCAUGGAUGUGAAGAGUUUGAGGGCAUGUGCUGCAUGAACUUGUCAGACCAUUCUCAAUCGAUUUACAAACAGCUGUCACAGCUGAGAAGCAACAUGAAAAAACUUGUAGUUGUUGACACUCCGUUUGACAAAUGGCUCAGAUCAUGGGGUCUCACUGGGUGGAUCAAAGAUUUGAUCUGUUUUGGUGUUGUGAUUUUCAUUGUUAUUGUAGUUAUUAUAGUUAUUUUAACUAUUGUGCCUUGUUUGUCACAGUGUAUGCAAAAAUUAACCAGCCGUGCCUUAGAAUCAGUUUUGAUAGCUCAAAAAGAAAAAGAGGGAGCUGUAACAGGAUUUCUUAGAGAACAUGGACAUGACGUAUUAUGGAACGAGAUCUGAGCUAUCCCAAAAUGGGCCCCAGGUUUAGGCCUCUGUGGAAGUAGAUAAGCCUGUGGUGCAGUUAAAAUUUUGAUUAAGGUGUGAUUAUGCACGUUAAAUUGAGAUUGUUUGCUGUCGGAGUCCAGGACGUCACUCUGGCCGCCCUGGAGGGUUGGGAGACCGGACAAGGGGUUCUGGGAUAUCUACAAGGGGGUCAGCCAGCCUCACACAGAGCCCAGGAGGACACUGCUUCUGAUCCCUGUCCAUGGGAGUGAAUACCUAAAUUGUAUGAAGAAUCACAAGCUGAGAGAAUUCACAAUAAGUAGUAGCUAGUUUAUCACAGUGUGUAAAUGUAGCAUCUAGGUUUUUUAGUAUAUGGGCUUGAAGAGGCAAGAUGGAGGAAUUGGGGAGUGGUCCUGUCCUCCUUGUUCUUGUUCUCAUCCCCCAUUUUCUGCUGAGCUGUGUCACAAGGAUUGGUUUAGAGUAGACAUGACAUGUUAACAUAGGUAGUAAGUACUGGUAAGAUUCUGUAAAUAAAAAGUAUGUUGUGGAUGGUGGUUGGACCAGGGAAACUACAAAAGGUCCGGGGCCCUCUGAUCUGCCCCAGUCUGCCGCAUGUCCUGCUCUGCUGGGGAUGCCUUGCAGAGCUGAGAAAGAACUGAGAGAUAAUGAAGAAUAAACAACCUUGGAAACAUGCACUAGCAGACUCAGCUUGUCUUCUCUGGCUCUGGCAUGAGACCUUUUGUGCAAGAGAAGCUCAAAAGCCUUAUUACCUCCGGGAACAGUAACCCCAAGGAAAGUCUCAGGGAACAGCAACCCUGAGAGAAAACCUUAUUACCUCGGGGAACAGCAACCCCGAGGAGAAUCUCACGGAACAGCAGCCCUGAGAGUUUGCAUUCUUUUUUUUGCUGAAUAUCAAUUAGAAAACACCUGUAACUGUAAAUUAUCUGAAACUGUAUAUAACCAGCCAUUUUGGGGAAUAAAGGGGACAGCGUAUGAUUUCACCAUAUUGGUUGUGCUCUGUGUUGCUCAGUCCAGCUUCCAUGUAAUUAAUAGGGACCCUGUCUUCACUGGGCAGUAGCGUGAGGCACAGGGUAGGUUUCCAGCCAUCCAGUAGUGGCUUCCACCAUGGUCAGUACGUAGCGCUUGCCUUGGCAGGUUUGGGGAAGGGUGAUGUAGUCAAUUUGCCAGGCUUCUUCAUACCUAUAUUUGGACCACCACCUGCCAUACCGUAGGGGCUUCACCCACUUGGCUUGCUUGAUUGCAGCACACGUCUCACAGUCAUGGGUAAUCUGAGAAAUACUGUCUAUGGUUAGAUCCACCCCUCGGUCUCGUGCCCACUUAUAGGUGGCAGAAACACUGCCCCACCUGGUUUUAAUAGCUGGCCUAUUAUCAGAAGGGC